AUGCUUCAUCUCCUGCUCGUGCCCAGGUAUGUGGAAACAGGCCCAAAGAAGUUAGGAGGCUGGUUCAAGGUCACACAGCUUGUUCUUAGUCAGCCCGGGACCAGAGUGAGCCGCCCCCCAGCCCAUCAUCACCAUCUCUCCGUGGAGGUCCUCCGUUCUGCAGUUCUGCAGGAAAAGAGGAGAGAGGAACGCAGCACUUAAACCAGAGACUUGAGAAGGGGCCAGCUGGCAAGCUGGUAGAAGGCAGAACUCGUAAAAAUGCUGCACAUUCUC
rnacentral:lncRNA from 1 species